rfam:Cricetulus griseus cell line CHO-K1, whole genome shotgun sequence.
GAAUGUUCGACUGUGACAUCUGUCACUAGUUGAUCACCAGGGAUAAUUUGGCUGAUCUGGCUGGCUAGGCAGGUGUCCCCUUCCUCCCUUACCAUUCCAUGAGGCUUUGUGCUCAGUUGAGGAGGACAGCCUUUCCUAGAUAGAGGGGGACCAGUCUUCAAAUGAGGGUAUAUGAGUAGAUGUGCUUCCCUGCUAGAACCCCCAAACAAGCUCUCAAGAUAAUGUAUUAUGGGUUCUAGGGACUCAGAUGUGAAUAUCUUUGGUGUGAGGUUGUUAUUCUGU